GCUGGGCGCGGGGCACGCGCCUGUAAUCCCAACAGCUCAGGAGGCUGAGGCUGGCGGAUUGUGAGUUCAAAGCCAGCCUCAG
rnacentral:sRNA from 1 species